rnacentral:rRNA from 1 species
UACGUAGGGGGCAAGCGUUGUCCGGAUUUAUUGGGCGUAAAGAGCUCGUAGGUGGUUUGGUAAGUCGGAUGUGAAAUCUCCAGGCUCAACCUGGAGGGGUCAUUCGAUACUGCCAUGACUAGAGGUCGGUAGGGGAGGUGGUGGAAUUCCUGGUGGAGGCGGUGGAAAUGACGCAGAUAUCAGGGAGGAACACCCAGUGGCGAAGGCGGCUCUCUGGGGGUGCACCUGACGCUGAGACGCGAAAGCGUGGGGAGCGAACAGG